rnacentral:rRNA from 1 species
UGGGUAACCGUACUGGUAGGAUGCACGCGGAACGGGUGCAGUAACGCGUGGGGAAUCUGCCUUUGAGCGGGGGACAACAUUUGGAAACGAAUGCUAAUACCGCAUAAAAACUUUAAACACAAGUUUUAAGUUUGAAAGAUGCAAUUGCAUCACUCAAAGAUGAUCCCCCGUUGUAUUAACUAGUUGGUGAGGUAAAGGCUCACCAAGGCGAUGAUACAUAGCCAACCUGAGAGGGUGAUCGGCCACAUUGGGACUGAGACACGGCCCAAACUCCUACGGGAGGCAACAGUAGGGAAUCUUCGGCAAUGGACGAAAGUCUGACCGAGCAACGCCGCGUGAGUGAAAAAGGUUUUCGGAUCGUAAAACUCUGUUGGUAGAGAAAAACGUUGGUGAGAGUGGAAAGCUCAUCAAGUGACGGUAACUACCCAGAAAGGGACGGCUAACUACGUGCCAGCAGCCGCGGUAAUACGUAGGUCCCGAGCGUUGUCCGGAUUUAUUGGGCGUAAAGCGAGCGCAUGUGGUUUAUUAAGUCUGGUGUAAAAGGCAGUGGCUCAACCAUUGUAUGCAUUGGAAACUGGUAGACUUGAGUGCAGGAGAGGAGAGUGGAAUUCCAUGUGUAGCGGUGAAAUGCGUAGAUAUAUGGAGGAACACCGGUGGCGAAAGCGGCUCUCUGGCCUGUAACUGACAGUGAGGCUCGAAAGCGUGCGGGAGCAAACAGGAUUAGAUACCCUGGUAGUCCACGCCGUAAACGAUGAGUGCUAGAUGUAGGGAGCUAUAAGUUCUCUGUAUCGCAGCUAACGCAAUAAGCACUCCGCCUGGGGAGUACGACCGCAAGGUUGAAACUCAAAGGAAUUGACGGGGGCCCGCACAAGCGGUGGAGCAUGUGGUUUAAUUCGAAGCAACGCGAAGAACCUUACCAGGUCUUGACAUACUCGUGCUAUUCCUAGAGAUAGGAAGUUCCUUCGGGACACGGGAUACAGGUGGUGCAUGGUUGUCGUCAGCUCGUGUCGUGAGAUGUUGGGUUAAGUCCCGCAACGAGCGCAACCCCUAUUGUUAGUUGCCAUCAUUAAGUUGGGCACUCUAACGAGACUGCCGGUGAUAAACCGGAGGAAGGUGGGGAUGACGUCAAAUCAUCAUGCCCCUUAUGACCUGGGCUACACACGUGCUACAAUGGAUGGUACAACGAGUCGCGAGACAGUGAUGUUUAGCUAAUCUCUUAAAACCAUUCUCAGUUCGGAUUGUAGGCUGCAACUCGCCUACAUGAAGUCGGAAUCGCUAGUAAUCGCGGAUCAGCACGCCGCGGUGAAUACGUUCCCGGGCCUUGUACACACCGCCCGUCACAACCACGGGAGUUGGGACGUAAACU